rnacentral:rRNA from 1 species
AUUGAACGCUGGCGGCAUGCCUUACACAUGCAAGUCGAACGGUAACAGGUCUUCGGAUGCUGACGAGUGGCGAACGGGUGAGUAAUACAUCGGAACGUGCCUAGUAGUGGGGGAUAACUACUCGAAAGAGUGGCUAAUACCGCAUGAGAUCUACGGAUGAAAGCGGGGGAUCGCAAGACCUUGUGCUACUAGAGCGGCCGAUGGCAGAUUAGGUAGUUGGUGGGAUAAAAGCUUACCAAGCCGACGUUCUGUAGCUGGUCUGAGAGGACGAUCAGCCACACUGGGACCGAGACACGGCCCAGACUCCUACGGGAGGCAGCAGUGGGGAAUUUUGGACAAUGGGCGCAAGCCUGAUCCAGCAAUGCCGCGUGCAGGAUGAAGGCCUUCGGGUUGUAAACUGCUUUUGUACGGAACGAAAAGCCCUGGGUUAAUACCCUGGGGUCAUGACGGUACCGUAAGAAUAAGCACCGGCUAACUACGUGCCAGCCGCCGCGGUAAUAC